ensembl:lncRNA
CAGAAACCACCCUAGACCACAGAAACCACCCUAGACCACAGAAACCAACCUAGACCACAGAAACCACCCUAGACCACAGAAACCACCCUAGACCACAGAAACCACCCUAGAUAGAGGAUCUCAGACCACAGAAACCACCCUAGAUAGAGGAUCUCAGACCACAUGAGAUUCUGUGAAAGGGACUGAAGAGGAUUUCAAAGCUUCCUUGUGACAGCAGGGUGACAGCAGGGUGACAGCAAGGUGACAGCAGGGUGACAACAAGGUGACAGCAGGGUGACAGCAGGGUGACAGCAGGGUGACAGCAGGGUGACAGCAGGGUGACAGCAAGGUGACAACAGGGUCUUGUUCAGUUC